UAUUUGGAUAUUUAUUCACAAGAAAACAUGAUUCCCUAAUAGUUUAGUUUAAGUGGAUUUGGGAGUUCUUGGAAUAAGCUAGCUACAUGUUUGAUGCUUGUGUAAUUGUACUCCUUGAAUUGUAAAAUGAGAUUAUAUGAUAAUAAUUGGGGGAUAUCAAGCAUGCUACUAUAUGUUGAUGUGUUGAACAUGAAUUAAGUUUAAGCUAAAGCAUGCUAAUGUGUAGUAAGAUGAUGUAAUUGAGUUCCUAUGGUUUGUAUUUGACAAACAUAUGAAUUAUAUGUUAAGUUGAAACAAAGGGGCUUUGCUGUCAGUUUUCGGCUUGACAGGGCAGUAUGUUUCGAGGUGCUUCUGAUGGUGUUCUCGUAGUCUAAAUAACUUGAAAUUUUUACUGUAAUAACUUCAUCAUGUGUAGUCGUUCUCUGCAAAAUUUCAGCUAAAUCCGAGACCAAUAAACAUGUCAAACUAUUUUCUGAAAUGUACUGCACGGAGCAGCAGAGUUCAGUGGCAGAUUCUGUCUUUGGUCAUAUAACUUCUUAUCCACUUGAGAUAUUGUGUUUUUGUAAAUUUCUGAGAAAUAUAGACGUUAAUAGCUUUCUAAAGAAGUGAGGUUUAUAUUUUUCUUUGAAGUGGUUGAUUUUAUAUAAUUUUUCAAAGUUAGGAUUCAAAUGGGUAUGUUUCUUAAACUUGUGAUUGGUAGUUAAUUGAGAUCCUAAACUACUAAACUCAAAUUAAGGUUUUAUGGUUCUAAUUACCUAUUGAGGAUUAUUGACUACUAAAGCUUGUUGAUAUGAUAGUUGAUGGACAUAAUUAUGCUUAUAUGAUUAAUUACUUUGGAAUUUUGUGUUUUACAUGUAUGGUUAGUUGUAAACUGAUCUCUAUGGAAUGGAUUUGUUUACUUCUAAACUUUCUCAAGCAGAGGAAUUCUUAUAAGAUAGGAAUAUUAGUUUAUACGUUCUUAAAGUUCAUAGAGUCAGUAUAUUGAUUAGUUUAGUUGAUGCAACCUUAGCAGUUUAUUGGGAUGCUAUUUAUAGCUAAUUCUUCUUAUCUAGUUAUCCAAUCUUAUUUUAGAAUCUUGCUAUUAUGAAGGUGACAGUAGCAAUGAUAGAUAAGUGAGCAAGAGUUUCUACAUCGUUAAGCGUAUCAGGUGGGCUUUCUAAACUCAGAAUGUGAAGUGCACACUAUUUAAUUAUGUUAUUAUAUGAAUGAUGUUAUAUUAAAGUUAUUGACUUGCCAAAACUUUUAUGAGCUUGUAUGUUACCAUCUACGAGAGAUAGACGAUAUCGGCCCUAUGCUGAAGCGAGAUGUCAGUAAGGGUUUGUGCACAUAGUUGUGACCGUGAGUCAUCGAGCGGGUUGGCCGGUCACUGUGAUCGGGAGCCUUCGGGCCGAUCACUGUGUUUGAGAAGGAGGCCUACUUCUCAACACAAGGUUACAUGAUGCGUAGUUAUGGUACAUACAUGUUAAUUGUGCAGACGUAUAUGAUGUUAUGAUGAUAUAUAUAUAUUAGAAGUUUUACAGUUUUGGCGUGCACAGGUAUUUUUAAAUAAAACUACCUGUGUGAUGCUUGAGAUGGCAAGUUCAAUAUAUAGCUAUAAGAGCAAGCUUUAAAGUUAUUUCGGCAUGUGACCAUUGAGUACCUUUUUAGUACUCAGCCCUGCAUAUGUUUUCUAAAUAUGCAGGUUAAGCUGUGAUGCGGAUGGAAGCGAGCAGAACAAAGUCUUGAUGUUAAUGUGUUAAAUUAGGCUCAGGAUUUCAUGUCCUCAUACAUGUAAUCCCAUUGAGUUAUUUCCGCUGCAACACUUAAUGUACUUUACUUUAUUGAUGUGUUGUACAGAUUUUAAACCAAUAGCUUCGAGAAUUAUGUCACUUAGACAACUUGUCGUUGUGUUAUUGUAAGUUGUCUACUCGCGAGUUUUAAAAGUGAUUGUUUAUAAUUACCAAACAUUAUGGUAAAAUAUUGUUUAAGCAUGAUGAUUAUUUUUAUUGAAACAUCUUUUAUUUUCCAUUUUCUUUUUCCAUUUCCCCAGUCACAUUUUCCCCGGCUUAACUGUUGUUAGCUUAGGUCGGGC
rnacentral:lncRNA from 1 species